rnacentral:rRNA from 1 species
AUACGUAGGGUGCGAGCGUUGUCCGGAAUUACUGGGCGUAAAGAGCUCGUAGGUGGUUUGUCGCGUCGUCUGUGAAAUUCCGGGGCUUAACUCCGGGCGUACAGGCGAUACGGGCAUAACUUGAGUACUGUAGGGGAGACUGGAAUUCCUGGUGUAGCGGUGAAAUGCACAGAUAUCAGGAGGAACACCGGUGGCGAAGGCGGGUCUCUGGGCAGUAACUGACGCUGAGGAGCGAAAGCAUGGGUAGCGAACAGGAUUAGAUACCCUGGUAGUCCAUGCCGUAAACGGUGGGCGCUAGGUGUAGGGGUCUUCCACGACUUCUGUGCCGUAGCUAACGCAUUAAGCGCCCCGCCUGGGGAGUACGGCCGCAAGGCUAAAACUCAAAUGAAUUGACGGGG